UACAUAAAACCUUGAUUGCAUUUGGUUUCCACACUCAAGAAGCGAACGUAGAUUCUGGAGCAAUUAUUUUACUGUAAAACAAAAUGAGGUUUCUUAUAUUUUUCUUAAUAAUAGUAAUUUGCAUUGUGUUCGUGACGUGUUCGCACACGUUUAUGGGCACGAAUGUGUGGAGACAACAAGUGCAUCGCAAAGAUGUACGAUUCAGUGCGAAUUAUAUAAGAAAACGCGUUGAAAAUGUUACAUUUGCCAUCCCGGCUACGAACUACCGGCGUUCUAUACAGGGUAUUCUUGCUUACGACCUGACUAAUUCUAGCGCGACAGCCAACGUCACUGCGGGCGGGAUCGGGUACUCUUACGUCACGUUGCGUCUGAGCAACGACCGCGGGCGUGAAAUUCAUUAUGAUAUCAAUAUUUACGUUUAAUUCAUUCAAUUAAAAGCAUGAAAUAAAUUAAUACAGCAAUUAAAA